GAUGAACGCUGGCGGCGUGCCUAAUACAUGCAAGUCGAGCGAACAGACGAGGAGCUUGCUCCGCUGACGUUAGCGGCAGGCGGGUGUAUAACACGUGUAUAACCUACCUAUAAGACUGGGAUAACUUCGGGAAACCGGAGCUAAUCCCGGAUAAUAUAUUGAACCGCAUGGUUCAAUAGUGAAAUUCGGUUUUGCCGGCGGUUGUAGAUGGAUCCGCGCCUCAUUAGCGAGUUGGUGGGGUAGCGGACUACCAAGGCUACGAUGCGUAGCCGGCCUGAGAGGUGGAACGGCCACAUGGGGACGAAGGUACGGCCAAGACUCCUAAGGGAGGCAGAAGGGGGGAAUAUUGCAAAAGUGGCGGAAGCAUGAUGCAGCAACGCCGCGUGCGGGAUGACGGCCUUCGGGUUGUAAACAGCUUUCGCCGGUGCCGAAGCGGGAGUGACGGUAAUGGGUAAAGAAGCACCGGCUAACUACGUG
rnacentral:rRNA from 1 species